rnacentral:lncRNA from 1 species
UCUGCCAGCCUUGGCCUCCCAAAGUGCUGAGAUUACAGGCAUGAGCCACUGCGCCUGGCCAACUUCCCUACUUCUUACCCACCUCCCUACUUCACUAUGCUGAUAACUAGGAAACUACUUAACAUGAUUUAACAUUAUCAGUUCUGAGGAAUACUUCUGAUCAUUCGGUCUGUCUUCCCUUUUUCAUUUUGCAGUAUUUUGUUCUUGUGGUAGAAGGAUCCUUUAUGCUGAUCCUUCCAAAGUCUGGAUUUGUCUGAGUUGCAGCUGUAAAAUUUUGAUAAUAUCACCUGCUUGGCUUGCCUCCACUGUUUUGUUGAAUAUCAAACAAAAUGGUAUACAGAAGUCCCUCCUUAUCCACAGUCUUGCUUUCCAAGUUUUAAGAGUUUGGAUAAACUAAAGGAAGCAUGGAGAUGAACGACAGGCGGAGAUAAAAGGAAAGGACAAACAACCUCUUUGUGCCUGUUUUGUCAUCCAUAAAGUGGGGAUCAUAAUAGAACCUUCCAGGAUUACAGGCUCAUGCCCAUCUCUACUAAAAAUACAAAAAUUAGCCAGGAUCCUGCAGUCGGCCAAGGACUGUGAAGAACAGAAAAGAAACCCAAGACUCCAUCCCAUCUUUAAGAAGUCUUCAGUAGCACCAGAGACAAAAAGGACGGCCAUGCGGGCGGAUCACGAGGUCAGGAGAUCGAGACCAUCCUGGCUAACACGGUGAAGCC